AGGUGGCCUCUGGGGCCUCCCAUCAGGACAUAAGUGAGACAAACCCAUGGUCACCUGUCUCCGUGGGGGAGGGGACUCCUCAGCUGCUUCCUGGAGGAGCCCUCAGGACACUCACUGCUCUCUUCUCCAUCUGCAGUUCCUGGUCUCCGGCCAGCUCAGCUCUGCUGUGCCCUUGGAUCCCUCAGAGCCUCUGACGCCCUCUGCCCUUCUGUGGCCCAACUGGGAAGGAUCAGAAUCAGGCUCUGUGGUCUCCUAUGGGCUGACUCAGCCUUCCUCAGUGUCGGUGUCUCUGGGAGAGACGGCCAGGUUGACAUGUCAGGGAGACAACAUUGGUGGUGAAUAUGUUCAAUGGUUCCAGCAGAAGCCCAACCAGGCCCCUGUGCAGGUCAUUUAUAAGACUAACCAGCGGCCCUCAGGGAUCCCUGACAGGUUCUCAGGCUCCAAAUCUGGGAACACGGCCACCCUGACCAUCAGCGGGACCCAGGCCGAGGACGAGGCUGACUAUUACUGUCAGGACUGAUAUGUGAC